UACGUAGGGGGCGAGCGUUGUCCGGAUUUAUUGGGCGUAAAGAGCGUGUAGGCGGUUCGGUAAGUCUGUCGUGAAAUCCUGAGGCUCAACCUCGGGCGUGCGAUGGAUACGGCCGGGCUAGAGGGUGGUAGAGGCGAGUGGAAUUCCCGGUGUAGCGGUGAAAUGCGCAGAUAUCGGGAGGAACACCAGUAGCGAAGGCGGCUCGCUGGGCCACACCUGACGCUGAGACGCGAAAGCUAGGGGAGCGAACAGG
rnacentral:rRNA from 1 species